UACGGGGGGAGCAAGCGUUGUUCGGAUUUACUGGGCGUAAAGGGCGCGUAGGCGGUCGUGACAAGUCACUUGUGAAAUCUCCGGGCUUAACCCGGAGCGGCCAAGUGAUACUGUCGUGCUAGAGUGCGGAAGGGGCUACUGGAAUUCUCGGUGUAGCGGUGAAAUGCGUAGAUAUCGAGAGGAACACCUGCGGCGAAGGCGGGUAGCUGGGCCGACACUGACGCUGAUGCGCGAAAGCCAGGGGAGCGAACGGG
rnacentral:rRNA from 1 species